CGAGGGAGAUGAGGAGGAUGUGCUGCUGGGGCUGUCCCAGUGGGAGGGGGUGGCGCAAGUGGUGGUGGAGGUACACUGCAUUCAAGGGCGCAUGGAAAGGGUGAAGACGCUGCUGGAGAGCCAUGGCUUCUUGGUGGUGGUUGACCAAGGCUUGGCGCCAAACACCGCCAUGAUCUAUGCUGCUCGCGAAGACAGGCUCCUCGGUGUAAUGGAACAUGCGUAGCACUUGCUGAGGGACGACCCAGCGUUAUGGAUGUAGGAAUCCUGACUUUGCAUGCGGCAAGAGAGGUCA
rnacentral:lncRNA from 1 species